rnacentral:rRNA from 1 species
UACGUAGGGGGCAAGCGUUGUCCGGAUUUAUUGGGCGUAAAGAGCGUGUAGGCGGCCAUACAGGUCCGUUGUGAAAACUGGAGGCUUAACCUCCAGACGUCGAUGGAAACCGUAUGGCUAGAGUCCGGAAGAGGAGAGUGGAAUUCCUGGUGUAGCGGUGAAAUGCGCAGAUAUCAGGAAGAACACCCGUGGCGAAGGCGGCUCGCUGGGACGGUACUGACGCUGAGACGCGAAAGCGUGGGGAGCAAACAGG